UACGAAGGGUGCAAGCGUUAAUCGGAAUUACUGGGCGUAAAGCGCGCGUAGGUGGUUCGUUAAGUUGGAUGUGAAAGCCCCGGGCUCAACCAAGGAACUGCACCUGAUACUGCCUAACUAGAGUACGGUAGAGGGUAGUGGAAUUUCCUGUGUAGCGGUGAAAUGCGUAGAUAUAGGAAGGAACACCAGUGGCGAAGGCGACUACCUGGACUGAUACUGACACUGAGGUGCGAAAGCGUGGGGAGCAAACAGG
rnacentral:rRNA from 1 species